UACAGAGGUCUCAAGCGUUGUUCGGAUUCAUUGGGCGUAAAGGGUGCGUAGGCGGCGCGGUAAGUCGGGUGUGAAAUCUCGGAGCUUAACUCCGAAACUGCAUUCGAUACUGCGGUGCUUGAGGACUGGAGAGGAGACUGGAAUUCAUGGUGUAGCAGUGAAAUGCGUAGAGAUCAUGAGGAAGACCAGUGGCGAAGGCGGGUCUCUGGACAGUUCCUGACACUGAGAACACGGAAAGGCCCAGGGGAGCAAACGGG
rnacentral:rRNA from 1 species